rnacentral:rRNA from 1 species
UGUUUCGGCAAGGGGGUCAUCCCGACUUACCAACCCGAUGCAAACUGCGAAUACCGGAGAAUGUUAUCACGGGAGACACACGGCGGGUGCUAACGUCCGUCGUGAAGAGGGAAACAACCCAGACCGCCAGCUAAGGUCCCAAAGUCAUGGUUAAGUGGGAAACGAUGUGGGAAGGCCCAGACAGCCAGGAUGUUGGCUUAGAAGCAGCCAUCAUUUAAAGAAAGCGUAAUAGCUCACUGGUCGAGUCGGCCUGCGCGGAAGAUGUAACGGGGCUAAACCAUGCACCGAAGCUGCGGCAGCGACACUAUGUGUUGUUGGGUAGGGGAGCGUUCUGUAAGCCUGUGAAGGUGUACUGUGAGGUAUGCUGGAGGUAUCAGAAGUGCGAAUGCUGACAUAAGUAACGAUAAAGCGGGUGAAAAGCCCGCUCGCCGGAAGACCAAGGGUUCCUGUCCAACGUUAAUCGGGGCAGGGUGAGUCGACCCCUAAGGCGAGGCCGAAAGGCGUAGUCGAUGGGAAACAGGUUAAUAUUCCUGUACUUGGUGUUACUGCGAAGGGGGGACGGAGAAGGCUAUGUUGGCCGGGCGACGGUUGUCCCGGUUUAAGCGUGUAGGCUGGUUUUCCAGGCAAAUCCGGAAAAUCAAGGCUGAGGCGUGAUGACGAGGCACUACGGUGCUGAAGCAACAAAUGCCCUGCUUCCAGGAAAAGCCUCUAAGCAUCAGGUAACAUCAAAUCGUACCCCAAACCGACACAGGUGGUCAGGUAGAGAAUACCAAGGCGCUUGAGAGAACUCGGGUGAAGGAACUAGGCAAAAUGGUGCCGUAACUUCGGGAGAAGGCACGCUGAUAUGUAGGUGAAGUCCCUCGCGGAUGGAGCUGAAAUCAGUCGAAGAUACCAGCUGGCUGCAACUGUUUAUUAAAAACACAGCACUGUGCAAACACGAAAGUGGACGUAUACGGUGUGACGCCUGCCCGGUGCCGGAAGGUUAAUUGAUGGGGUUAGCGCAAGCGAAGCUCUUGAUCGAAGCCCCGGUAAACGGCGGCCGUAACUAUAACGGUCCUAAGGUAGCGAAAUUCCUUGUCGGGUAAGUUCCGACCUGCACGAAUGGCGUAAUGAUGGCCAGGCUGUCUCCACCCGAGACUCAGUGAAAUUGAACUCGCUGUGAAGAUGCAGUGUACCCGCGGCAAGACGGAAAGACCCCGUGAACCUUUACUAUAGCUUGACACUGAACAUUGAGCCUUGAUGUGUAGGAUAGGUGGGAGGCUUAGAAGUGUGGACGCCAGUCUGCAUGGAGCCGACCUUGAAAUACCACCCUUUAAUGUUUGAUGUUCUAACGUGGACCCGUGAUCCGGGUUGCGGACAGUGUCUGGUGGGUAGUUUGACUGGGGCGGUCUCCUCCUAAAGAGUAACGGAGGAGCACGAAGGUUGGCUAAUCCUGGUCGGACAUCAGGAGGUUAGUGCAAUGGCAUAAGCCAGCUUGACUGCGAGCGUGACGGCGCGAGCAGGUGCGAAAGCAGGUCAUAGUGAUCCGGUGGUUCUGAAUGGAAGGGCCAUCGCUCAACGGAUAAAAGGUACUCCGGGGAUAACAGGCUGAUACCGCCCAAGAGUUCAUAUCGACGGCGGUGUUUGGCACCUCGAUGUCGGCUCAUCACAUCCUGGGGCUG